rnacentral:rRNA from 1 species
AGCAGCCGCGGUAAUUCCAGCUCCAAUAGCGUAUAUUAAAGUUGUUGCAGUUAAAAAGCUCGUAGUUGAAUUUCGGGGUUAGUAGGUCGGUCGUGCCUCGGGUAUGUACUGGUCUCACUGAUUCCUCCUUCCUGAUGAACCGCAAUGCCAUUAAUUUGGUGUUGCGGGGAAUCUGGACUGUUACUUUGAAAAAAUUAGAGUGUUUAAAGCAAGCUC